rnacentral:lncRNA from 1 species
UUUAUAUUUCUAUAAUUAUUCAUACCAUUUUCAAUUAUUGGGCUCGAAUCAUCAUGAUAAGAAGAUGUCCAGUAGUGAGAUAUUACGAUAUGAUUUUUUGAAAAAAAUUCUAAAAUUGCUUGAAUUUGUUAAAGUAUUUAUAAGAUAAGUAAUGUUCACUUUUUUCAAAUUUAUCAAUAAAUUAUAAAAUUAUUAUAUUAACAAAUUUUGAAUCUAUUAUUCUAGA